rnacentral:misc_RNA from 1 species
GAUGAAGAACGUAGCGAAAUGCGAUAAGUAAUGUGAAUUGCAGAAUUCAGUGAAUCAUCGAAUCUUUGAACGCACAUUGCGCCCGCCGGCAUUCCGGCGGGCAUGCCUGUUCGAGCGUCAUUUCAACCCUCAAGCACUGCUUGGUGUUGGGGCUCUACGCGUCCAGCGUAGGCCCUGAAAAUCAGUGGCGGGCUCGCCAUCGGUUCGGGCGCAGUAGCGAUAUCUCGCCCGGGACUGGUGACGUGCUCCGGCCGUUAAACCCCCCAAACCACUGAAUGUUGACCUCGGAUCAGGUAGGAAUACCCGCUGAACUUAAGCAUAUCAAUAAGCGGAGGA